AUUUGUCUGGUUAAUUCCGAUAACGAACGAGACCUUAACCUGCUAACUAGAUCUUAUUAUCUUAUAAUUUGCAUCUUCUUAGAGGGACUAUGUAAUCUAAAUACAUGGAAGUUUGAGGCAAUAACAGGUCAGUGAUGCCCUUAUAUGUCCUGGGCUGCACGCGUGCUACACUGAUGCAUACAACAAGUGCCUAACCAGACAUGGUAUGGCAAUCUCGAAUAUGCAUCGUGAUGGGGAUAGAUCUUUGCAAUUAUAGAUCUUGAACGAGGAAUUCCUAGUAAGUGCAAGUCAUCAUCUUGCAUUGAUUAUGUCCCUGCCCUUUGUACACACCGCCCGUCGCUCCUACCGAUACCGGGUGAUCCGGUGAACCUUUUGGACUCCGUACGGGGGAAGAUAAGUAAACCAUAUCACCUAGAGGAAGGAGAAGUCGUAACAAGGUUUCCGUAGGUGAACCUGCRGAAGGAUCA
rnacentral:rRNA from 1 species